AACGAACGCUGGCGGCAUGCCUAACACAUGCAAGUCGAACGAAGGCUUCGGCCUUAGUGGCGCACGGGUGCGUAACGCGUGGGAAUCUGCCCUUUGCCUCGGAAUAACAGUUAGAAAUGACUGCUAAUACCGGAUGAUGUCGCAAGACCAAACAUUUAUCGGCAGAGGGUGAGCCGGCGUAGGAUUAGCUAGGUGGUGGGGUAAAGGCCUAUCAAGGCGAGGAUCCUUAGCUGGUCAGAGAGGAUGAUCAGCCACACUGGGACUGAGACACGGCCCAGACUCCUACGGGAGGCAGGAGAGGGGAAUAUUGGAAAAUCGGCGGAAGCCUGAUCCAGCAAUGCCGGGUGAGUGAUGAAGGCGUUAGGGUUGUAAAGCUCUUUUACACGGGGUGAUAAUGACGGUACCGAGAGAAUAAGCUCCGGCUAACUCCGUG
rnacentral:rRNA from 1 species